AACGUAGGACACAAGCGUUAUCCGGAAUUACUGGGCGUAAAGGGCUCGUAGGCGGCCAACUAAGUCAGACGUGAAAUCCCUCGGCUUAACCGGGGAACUGCGUCUGAUACUGGAUGGCUUGAGUUUGGGAGAGGGAUGCGGAAUUCCAGGUGUAGCGGUGAAAUGCGUAGAUAUCAGGAGGAACACCGGUGGCGAAGGCGGGUCUCUGGGCCGAUACUGACGCUGAGGAGCGAAAGCGUGGGGAGCGAACAGG
rnacentral:rRNA from 1 species